CCCACCCCCACCCCCAGAGGGGAAGGUAGAGGAGUUGCCUCAUUUCCAGCUGCUGCAGAAGGAGGAGGGAUUGGGUGUGUGCCCAGCUGCGGGGCUCAGGUACAGAUGGUCCAGUGUGCGCUGGGAGGACCCGAGGAACGGCCCAGCAGAUGUGGAAACUCAGAGAGGAUGCCACUGUUUUGAACUAUUUUGAAGGCACAGCCACCAGAGCUUUAGGUGAGUGACUCUAUGCUUAUAGGCCCAAAUGUAUCUUCACCCCCUCUCACUCCCUGCGCUGUACAGUUUCCCAUUACCCAACAUGCACUUCUGUUAGCAGCUGACUCUUUCCUAAACCUAUUCCUCCAGGGACUUACUUAGCUAGACAACCAGCUUUUCAGUUUCUUCCUUAUUUUCCUACCUAACUUUAUUAAAUUAAAUUGUUUAUUUUUUGAGACAGGGUCUCACCUUGUAGCCCUGAAUGACUUGGAAUUUGCUGUGUAGACCAGGUUGGCUUUGAACUCACAAUUCUCCAUCUGCCUCUGUUCCCAAAUGCUGGGAUUAACAGUCUAUGUCACACAUACCUAGUCUUCCUUCCUAGCUUUCUAUUUUCAGGAAAUGUCUCUUGGGACUCAGUCUAUCAAGACAGGGGUGGAAGUGGAGCUGGCCAGUGGAGUGUUGGGACAAAGCUCUGAGUGGAGCCCUCGAGUUUAAAACGGAAUCUUAGAGAGGACGUGUUUACUCCUGCAUUAUAGAGCACGGACGCUCAUGACUCAGUUUGAUUUUCAUACACCGUUCUGCUCAUCACUGCCAAGUGGAGCAAUCCAGGCCUCUCAAAAUGUGCCAUACUACCUUCCAGCUAAAAGCUUUCUGUGGGGCUGGCGAGAUGGCUCAGCGGGUAAGAGCACCCGAUUGCUCUUCCGAAGGUCCAGAGUUCAAAUCCCAG
rnacentral:lncRNA from 1 species